rnacentral:rRNA from 1 species
ACGAACGCUGGCGGCGUGCUUAACACAUGCAAGUCGAACGAGAGGACAAGAGAAGCUUGCUUCUUUUGGAAUCGAGUGGCAAACGGGUGAGUAACACGUAAACAACCUGCCUUCAGGAUGGGACAACAGACGGAAACGACUGCUAAUACCGAAUACGCUUGGGAGACCGCAUGAUCUACCAAGGAAAGGGUGGCCUCUACCUGUAAGCUAUCGCCUGAAGAGGGGUUUGCGUCUGAUUAGGCAGUUGGUGAGGUAACGGCCCACCAAACCUACGAUCAGUAGCCGGUCUGAGAGGAUGAACGGCCACACUGGAACUGAGACACGGUCCAGACUCCUACGGGAGGCAGCAGUGGGGAAUCUUCCGCAAUGGGCGAAAGCCUGACGGAGCAACGCCGCGUGAGUGAUGACGGCCUUCGGGUUGUAAAGCUCUGUGAUCGGGGACGAACGGUCCGUAAGCUAAUACCUUAUGGAAGUGACGGUACCCGAAUAGCAAGCCACGGCUAACUACGUG